rfam:Dipodomys ordii contig_7057, whole genome shotgun sequence.
GGGAUGGUGGCUCAGUGGUAGAGCCCUUGCCUUGAAUGCAUGAAGCCCUGGGUUCGAUUCCUCAGCAUCACA